UGUUUUUGUUUCAGAAUUAUAUUGAAUUUCUAACUUCUCGUUUACAUCGUUUGAGGAACAUACUUAUGGAAAUGUUCUGUAUUGUAUGUUUGGAUGUUGAGGAAAUGUAUUAUGAGAUAUCUUAAUCUUAGCCUGCAGUAAGAAUUGACCUCUCGACGUCUAGUAUAGGAUUUUAUCAUUGACUGCAGGUUAAUGAAGAGGCUACUUCUGAAUGGUAAGUCUUUGUAUAGAUGAUUAGCAAUUAUAUCACCAUUGGUAUGUGAUGAUUUCAAGUGGUGUGAACCUUGCUGAGAUAAUUCUUGAAGCAGUUGCUUCAAACCAUUUAAAUUGCAUCUAGUCCCUAAUCGCACUCUUCUCAGUUAUUCCUUUUGAGUGAAUUGUACAUCCUUAUAGAGGGCAUUAUAGUUUCUUCUUGAGUGAACUGUGUAUCUGUUUUACACUUUCACCCAAAAAUAGGUCAAAUCCACUCUCAAAAGAUGGAAGUCUCACUCCAACAGGACUUGUCUCUCAUCUCAUGCUGAGAGGAGUGUGAUAUUAUGGACCAGAUUAACUAUUUUGCAUCAAGAGAGUAUCCUGAGGUAUUAAAAAAAAUCAUGCUUUUUGUUUCAAAUUUGCUUUUUCCUUGACUAAUGCUCAACCUCAGAAAAUGUCGUUUUGGAUGAAGCAUGCAUCAAUGGGUUUUUGUCACUGUUCUGUUCCAAUGACAUUCCUUCUGCAAUCAUAAAUCUUGC